rnacentral:tRNA from 1 species
GGAGAGUACAGCUCAGUGGUAGAGUGUGUGAUUAGAAUGCACAAAGCCCUGGGUUCAAUCCCCAGUACCUCCA